GGGCGCUUAGCUCAGCUGGUUUAGAGCGCCUGCCUUACAAGCAGGAGGUCACUGGUUCGAAUCCAGUAGUGCCCA
rnacentral:tRNA from 1 species